rnacentral:rRNA from 1 species
UACGUAGGGUGCAAGCGUUAAUCGGAAUUACUGGGCGUAAAGCGUGCGCAGGCGGUUGUGCAAGACAGAUGUGAAAUCCCCCGGGCUUAACCUGGGAACUGCAUUUGUGACUGCACGGCUAGAGUGUGUCAGAGGGGGGUAGAAUUCCACGUGUAGCAGUGAAAUGCGUAGAUAUGUGGAGGAAUACCGAUGGCGAAGGCAAUCCCCUGGGCCUGCACUGACGCUCAUGCACGAAAGCGUGGGGAGCAAACAGG